AUUGAACGCUGGCGGCAGGCCUAACACAUGCAAGUCGAGCGAGCGGCGGACGGGUGAGUAAUGUCUGGGAAACUGCCUGAUGGAGGGGGAUAACUACUGGAAACGGUAGCUAAUCCCGCAUACCAUCAGAUGUGCCCAGAUGGGAUUAGCUGGUAGGUGGGGUAACGGCUCACCUAGGAGACGAUCCCUAGCUGGUCUGAGAGGAUGACCAGCAACACUGGGACGGAGACACGGUCCAGAAGCCUAAGGGAGGCAGCAGUGGGGAAUCUUGCACAAUGGGCGCAAGCCUGAUGCAGCCAUGCCGCGUGUGUGAAGAGGGCCUUCGGGUUGUAAAGCACUUUCAGCGGGGAGGCGUUACCCGCAGAAGAAGCACCGGCUAACUCCGUGCCAGCAGCCGCGGUAAUAC
rnacentral:rRNA from 1 species